UCUAACGACGAUAAAUCACCAUUAAUUUAUACAUUAACAAAAUAAUAAACAGUGAAAGAAAAUAAAAUAAAGAAAAAUAUAAUUACUAACCAGUCUUCCAGCUGAUGAUAGAAACAAUUUAAACCUGUCUGCUUGUAUGUGACAAUGUUCUUUGAUAUAAUCAUAAAGAUCUUUACCACGAGUGGACUCGCGUAGGGGAUAUCUGUCAGGAGUCAAAGUCUUGUCUUGAGAUCCAAAUAACAGAUCGAACUGAAUCAGACAUGUUUGACCAGCUCUACAAACCAUGGUCUGUAAUAAGACAUCAGAUAAAAGACAAACAAAAUUGGCAUUAUGCCAUACUAAAGGUGGAAAAUGAGUAAAAUCUACGCAACACAGUGAGAUACUACUCUGCACAGUAUGACACAGUAAGGAAAGCCUAUAGAGCCUCCAGUUAUAUUUAGAAUGUCUAAACGAAGACUUGGAAAAUGGCUCUCUUCUCCGAGAUCAGAAUUCUCCCCUCUUUCCCCUUUUCUUUCUCACUCUGUUGCUUCUUUUCUAUUCUACAUUCUUUUUUUUUUGUGCACAACUGCUAAAUAAAUGAAAGUCUACGAUAUAUCAAGUUAACAAAUUUAUUCAAAGCCUAUACAUUCGCUACGUAAUAAUACAAAGUUACAAGAGUGAAAUUACUACAUUGGAAAGUUCAAAAUGUAUAACAGAAACAUUUGGCAUCUAUUAAAAUACGUAUUUACAAAAAUUGUAUUCUUUACAUAUACGUUUAUUCUUAAAACUUACCUAACAGUCCUGUUUUUAUGAAAAAUAUACUUUCUGCCAGUAUAUACUAUAGAAUCCACACCACGUAUGCUUGUUUCAGU